rnacentral:rRNA from 1 species
GACAGAGGGUGCAAACGUUGUUCGGAAUUACUGGGCGUAAAGGGCGUGCAGGUGGUCUGUUAAGUCUGGCGUGAAAGCUCCUGGCUAAACCGGGAGAGGUCGUUGGAUACUGGCGGACUAGAGGACGGUAGAGGCGUGUGGAAUUCCGGGUGUAGUGGUGAAAUGCGUAGAGAUCCGGAGGAACACCAGUGGCGAAGGCGACACGCUGGGCCGUAACUGACACUGAUACGCGACAGCAUGGGGAGCGAACGGG